AAUAAAGUUAAUGGAGGUGAAGCACAGAAAGAAAAUAAAGUUAAUGGAGGUGAAGAUCAGAGAGAAAAUAAAGUUAAUGGAGGUGAAGCACAGAAAGGAAAUGAUCCUGAUGGAGGUGAAGCACAGAAAGAAAAUAAAGUUAAUGGAGGUGAAGCACAGAAAGAAAAUAAAGUUAAUGGAGGUGAAGAUCAGAGAGAAAAUAAAGUUAACGAAGGUGAAGA